GCGCUGUUCUCAACUUUACAAGUACCCGUGCAUUUCAUCCUUCCCCAAGGAGCUGAGGAAGAUCAGCUCCAUCACCUCGAUUUAACAGACAAGGAAAUGGAGGCUGAGAGGGGCCCCGUCACCAGCUCGGAAAUCAGCAGCUAAACAAGAAGAAACUAUAUGUGCUGUUUUGCAGAAACCGAUGUCCCCGUUUUGCAGAUGUUGCUAUCUUGCAGAGAAAUUAACACACUCGCUUGCAGCGAGACCCCUGCAAAAUGGUUCCAGCGCCAAGCGUCCUAAAGUUACCUUAAGCUCAUUAGCAUCUUAAAUUCUCCUCCUCUGGGAGGGUCCCAGCCCCCAUUUUCAGAUCAGGGGGUGUACGAAGUGGCAUAUUUACCUGCUACCCACACGCCCUGAGCGAGCACAGUUGUUACACAGCUGUUACCAAUAGACCUGUUAUCCUCUGCUCUGUUGUGGAUGAAGUCUCUGUGGGCACUGAGCCCGAGAGACACUGCGUUGGGGAAACAUCCCAGGUGUUCUCCAUUGCCUGUGCAGGCAAUAAAGCUUUUCUCCACCCACUUCUGCCUUGGCUGUGCUUAGAGAGGUGAACCCAUUGAGUUCGGUUACAUUCACACCUCAGCCUCCAACCAUCCCUAACACACACACACACUCACCAGCAAACAUCCCAGCCAAACUCCCAUCCUGCCUAGAGGGUCCUGGCUACCUCAGGUGACGAGGACAACUCAACGUUAGGGGUGGCUCUGCCAGCCGCACACCUCAAGAUCCACGGGGUUGCUGGUGUGGAGGAGGCGCUGGCAUGGACAGCCUUUCGGCCCCAGAGCCUUUUCUGGUCAGGGCAGCCUGCUGCUGAGGAGACCUGGCUGCAUGCCAGGCUGUGUGCCACCCUGACCUGUGUCCAGGGCCACCACUGCAUGGUCACAGACUGUUGGAGUUGGAAAGGCCCCUCAUUUCACAGGCAGAGAUGCUGUGGCCCCGCAGUCGGUCUCUGCAUCAAAACCAGUGGGCUGCUUGACUAAAAUGCAGAUUCCUGAGCCCCAUUCCGACUUUGCCAAAUCAGAAUGUCUGGGGGUAGAGCCCGGAAGUCUGCUUUUUUAUCUAGUGCCCUUCAGCUCCACCCCCUCCACAACUACCCUCCAGGAGUUCCCCAAAUGUGGCUGCUGUGCAGGUCCACACCCAUCCUCCAGAGAGUCUGCUCCAGGAUGGCGGAGGUGGGGCCUGGGAAUCUGAAUUUCCCCCCCAAGCAUCCUCACCGACUCUUGGGAGACACUGCUUCACCAUUCGGGGAUGCAGCCAUGCAAGGGAUGGAGAUUUCAAAGGCAAACCUAUGAUUGUGUUGUCAUCACUCUGCUUUGGCCUUGGGUGCCCCGGCCCUCCUUCCAGGGAGGAGAACUGUGUUUUAUACCACAGCAUGGCUGCCAAGCAGUGCCAUGUCCGCACCCGGAAUCCAACCAGCGAACCCCGGGCCACCGAGAAGCGGAAUGUGCGAACUUAACCGCUGCGCCACCGGGCCGGCCCCCCAAAGCCGUCUUUAAUGAGCACAUGAGCCUCGCCAUUCCUGGCACUUGAGCCCACUCCCCCCCACACCGGAAACAAGGGCCUUGACCCCCCAGGAAGAGCAGGCUGGAGCACUGCCCUUGCCAUUUCAUCCCACCUGGGACCCCAGGCCUGUCUGAGCACUGGGAGGUGUUUUCUUGUCACCUGCCGCCCCUCUCACCUGUGAGGAUCUGGUAGCUGUGUGUCUGGUCUGUCCGUGAGCUCAAGGCUGGGGCAGAGAAGAGGGGAGGGUGCAGGCCAGAGGUGGUGCUGGCCAGAGGUUGCCCAGGACUGCCCCUGGAGCCAUCCAGCUGACCACUGGCCAAGCUGGAGUUAACCCCUCCCUGCCCAGGGCCGGAUUCUGCCCACCAUGGACACCCCCGCCCCAUCUCUCCUCCCCCAGGCGUGGGGACUAAUGAAAGCUUUACUUCGCAGGAUCUCUUCUUGCUGACUCUUCUAACCGUCUGCUUACCAGUGAGAUACCCUCUAAUCACAGACCACAGAUACGCCCCAGAGGACAAGCUGGGACCCUGGCUGAGACACACUUACAAGUGGCCAUGGUCAUUGCUUCAUUGCUGGAAGCCCCCAUCCCAUCCCACCUCACCCACCCCUCCCACAGGGGGCUGUCCCUGCCUGUCGGAUCACCAUGGUGUCCCAGUUCCCUGCACAGGGCCUGCCAGGGAACCAUCGCCGUUGGAGAAUAGCCCUUUGGACACCCCUCCGGCUCCUCCACUCCUCCCCACCUUUUGCCCAAGAUUCAGACUCAGCAGGUUUGGGUAGGGCCUGAGUCCCUAAAAGCGUCCAAGUGGGUCUGCAGCCCAGCUGGCCCCACCCACCUGCACGCUGAGGUGCUGGGGUUCCAAGGCUAUCCCCCGAGGUGUCUGCAUUCCAGAAGCAAGGAUGGAUGGCCAAGAGUGGAAUUUCAGGCAGUAAGUGCAGUGGUUAUGAACCUGCGCUCAAGAAGUUCAAAUUCCUGAUCUUGACCUUGGGCAAGUCCUUAACCUGCUUGAGCCUCAGUGUCAUCUGUGGAAUGGGGAAGUAAUAGCAUCCACCUUGCAGAGUUGCCGUGAUGAUUAAGUGAGUACCUGGCAGCUAAUGUAUGUAAGUGUGAACGGUUAUUAUAAUCUGUGCUAUUUCUAGGACAGAAAUCUGUUUAGAGGUGGAAAUGUCUUUUAGUCCCUCUGAAAUCAUCUCAAAGGUGCUUUCCUCGUCUCAUGAAAGGCCAGCUCAGCUGCCUGGCCGCAACGUGGACUUUCAGAGACUAGGUGGACCCUAUGUCUGAUCUGGAUUAGACCAUCAGGGCCUUUGAAAUGUUAAUGAGGGUUGUGUUUUGACACUGCCAGUUCAAAGGGAAGCAUUAGGAAGCAGUGUUUCCCCUGGGAAGCGGGCAGGAAAGCCCUGAGGUUGGGGGGAGGGUCAGCGGGGCAGGUGGCCGCUGGUCAUCAAACCUCUACUAGGAGAGUUGGAGAAACCUGUGACAUCACCAAGUCCAAGCCCCCCAUUGUACAGAUGGAGAAAUUGAGGGUGUCACCCUCUGGUGAGGAUGCACAUCCACUGAGAAUCGGUGCCCUAGGAGGUUCCGUGCAGCUGCGGGACAUGUGUAGGGGCAGUGAAGGUGGGAUGGUGAAGCCCUUUAUGCCGUAGAAGGCACCAUGGUGGGGCCCAGGGCUAGUCAGACAGAGCUGGGGGGCAGGGCCCAUGCCUGGGGUCAAGCCCUGACCCAUAACCUCUGCCUGGCCCUUCCUUAACGGGGCAGGCCAACCUAGGCUGACCCCGAGGGAAUAUGAUGAAGAGUGGCUGUGAGGGCCCCUGGAGGCCAGUUCUGCAGCAUCCACCCCUGUUCUGUGCCCUCUUUUGGAACGUAUUUGUGCUGCCCCAAUUUCUAAGAAUUCAGAAACUCCUUCAGGGACCAAACUCAUCCCAGGAAUAAAAACUCAAUUCAGUUCUCCACUAAAACCAUUUCUUCUUUUGAAACGCUUUAUACAGAUGUUGGAUUCCAGGAAAUUCAGGUUUGAAUCCCCAUUCCACUACUUAUUGUUAAAAACAACAUGGAACAAACCUUGACUCUUAGAGCCUCAGUUUCCCCAUCUGUAAAGUAGGGAGAGUCAUCUCUGCUUUGCAGUCUUGCUGAGAAGAUUAAAUUAACUUAAUUUAUUUUAUUAAAUUUAUUUUAUUUAUUAAAUUAAAUUAAUUCAGCCACUCAUUCAACACAUUUUUCCUGAGCACCUACUAUGUGCCAGACAUCGAUGACACAGCAAUGAAUACACGAGAGAGAGACAGCAGCAUGUGCUCAUGGGGCCUUCAGAGUGAUAUCAACCAAUAGUGACCCCAAUAUCUAUGCGACCAAC
rnacentral:lncRNA from 1 species